ACCCUUUCAAAGGCUGGCUUGUUCCCUUGUUAAACCUUUUUUUUUCAUCUUCUGGACCGCCAACGACGAUAUCGCCGCCACCGUUCCGACUUUGUUCCCUUUUGGCGGAGCGCAUACCAUCUCGCCACGAACCACCACUCAUCGCAGCACCUCUAGACAGAACUGGUUGCCGCCGCGAGCAGUUCUGUCACUCGUGUUCUGUGAUUUGCGAACAGCCACUGUCGAUCAGUAUUCUAGCCAUCGCCACUCCCUCCAAGUCUGACCGCCGCCGUAGAUCCACCGUCUUCCGUUGAUCAGUGUUGAUACCAGUACACCGUCCACCGCUCGCCACCAUUGCCCGCCGCCUUCGGUCACCGUGAACUACCACCACGAUUGGUCGGACAUUUGAUUCUAUUAAUUGUCUCCACUCAUCCCAACGGCAACCGAACAACUUUGAGUCGCCAUUGCCAGUUUGAUUUCGAGUUCGUUUUGUCCAACGAUUGAGGUUAUUGACUGUUUGAGGACGACUUGAUUUAUUUUGUGUCGUUAUGCUAACCAUAAGGUAAUCCGGGGAAUGUUGGGAACUAGUGAUGAUGAGAGUAAAAUGCGGUUCAAGGAUAAAAGACUUUUGUUUAUUUCAUUAUUCAAAUUAAUUAAGACUUAAGAUUUCUUGGUCUGUUUUAAGACUUUUGUUUAUCUUUAGGGCGCAACUUUUCUUCUUUAAAUGGAUUGUGU
rnacentral:lncRNA from 1 species